GGCGUCUUCCCACAGAUAUCCAUAUACCAUCUACCAUCCGUUGAACGGAUUGUCCAUUGUGUUUUGUCGUUUAAGUGUGUAAGCACAGAUAAAAACAAUUGGGGCCAAGCCGUGGGAUUCUGUCCGUGAGGCAGCAUUAAUAGUUGCUCCACACUUUCCUAGGCGCAUAACGUACUCACAACAUGGAGCAGAACACAUUGGAAAACGAGAGUACUAGAGGGAAUAGGUGGACCACAAGGCCGAGCUUGUGGCGAUAGCGCUUGAGCAAGGCUGGAGAAGCAGCAAGCGCAGACCGAGAUCCUGUCUGCCAUCCUUGACAUAAAAAAUAAAAUGAAAUAUUAAAUUAUAAUAAAACAAAAAACAAACAUAUUUAUAUAUAA